AAGAGAGGGAGGGGAAGAAUAAGAGAAGGAGAAGAAAGAGAGGGAAGGAAAGAGAAGAACUUGAUCUUCUAUCUUUAGCAUAUAUGCUUGUGGCUGGCAAAAGUGAUGGCUAGAUGUGGGUAGUGUGCCCCAUCAUUUUUUAGCAGGUUGUAACCUCUAAUAAGCACAUGGUGAACUUCUGUUUCAUUGGUCUCAGAGGAAUUUAGCCAAAUUUGCUAAAGACCCCUUGGGGGGAAAUUCUCUGCCAGAAAUCCAGGUCCCCUUUCUACUGGCGGCCUUUGGCCCUUUGAUUUAGGAAGGGUCAGUGAUGGAAAGGUACACAUGCUUAUGUUGAAUGGAGGGAGAUAGUUAAGAGUUAAGCUUUGUGCUUUUGGCACAACAGGAACGUGGAACCACUUCUUGAUCCCUAAACUGGGUGAAAGCGUGUGUUCCAGGCCUGCAAAUGCAUGGCCACUAUCUCCUUCGAACACUAUCUCCUGCCCAGCUCUCAUAGCACUUGUUCUGCACCUCUGUGUGUUGAGGACUUUCUUCCUGGUACCAUAAUUAAUGUCAUCUCCUCCAAGACAUGCCUGAAGAGAUUAUUCUCAUCCAGGGGGAUCCCCAUAGCAUCUACCAGACUUCCUGGCAUACAGUAGGUGCUCAAGAGAGGUAUAAUGGUAGAAACUGGAAGGGUGUCAGACUUGUGGAGGGAAAUUAAAUGUAUAAUUGAAACUGGCCUGCGUUUAAAAAUAAAUUUAAAAUUUUGUAUGUUUUUCUCUUGAAAAAAAAAAAACUUUCCAAAGCUCCAAGCUUAACCUGAUGCUCCAGGCCCCAAAGAUUCCCAGAGCCAACCCCUUCCCCCAGUUCAGUGGGGACCUUCAAGGUAGAGGGGUCAGGAAGCAAAGAUCGCCCCUCUUAUCAGUGAGUCCCAGAUAGUUCUGGCUCAAGACCUAUGCCUCCCUCUAAUUAACUCCUUGAGCCUACAAUUUACUAUCCAGUAAACAGUCUGCAGGACUCCAAGUUGAGUGUGAUGGGGUACAUGGUGCAAAGAUAGAGAACAUACAGCAAAGGAACUGAUCACUGGGAAAGGUGCCAGGGAAGGAGAGACACUGCUGUUCUGAGGUCCAGAAUGAGCAAGACACACACAUACAACAGAGGGAUUUCUGGGGAGUCAAGCAGAAUCUAGAAGCAUCUGCAAAGGAUGUGUUCAUUGAGGUGUCUGAAACUGACUAUCUCAACUGAGAAAUUUGCACAGAGAAAGGAGCCUUCAGCAGCCCUAUUCCUGCCCCCAGAGCCAAAUCCCCAGGAACUAAAUUAGAGGGAGGCAUUUUUCAUAUCUGCCGGGCUAGAGAAGACAGAAAAAUAACAGGGGGAGGGGGAACAGAAAUCUUUUUGAUAAGACUAAUGCACUUUGGCUGUUACCUCACCUGGGGUGCUGACUAUAUUUUAAUCAAGCAGAGUAUUCAUAGCUUUUCUUCUUCUGGAUGUCCUUGUGCUUUCAACCUGGCUUUCCCAGACUGUAAUAAAUGUUUAAGUAGGAAGGAAGCUAAAAAGAGAAAGUGGGAAAGAGACAUAGAGAGUGACAGAAAACUGGGAAUGACACCCAGGCCAGCAGAGUAAUAGCUUUCUUUAGUGAAUUCUAAACUUUGAAAAGGAAUUUCUUAAAUACUUCUAAAUCUCCCCCUCAUGUGAGGUUGGCACCACCUCUAGAGACAAAGCCUUUGUGUAGGGGUGACUGUGAAGUGUGAAUCCAGACUGCUUCCCUCCUUUUUACUUUAUAGUCACAUCUCCUGUGGAGAUAUGCAUGCAUGUAGGACCUGCAGUGCAUUGCCUAAGAUCUACGGUGUACCUGUGAGUUGACUUUAGUAGUUUAUAAACUGGAAUCAAUACCCUAGUCAUUUAGGGGAUUGGAGGGUGGGGAGGCUUCUUGAAAAUGCAGAUUUCCAGGCCUUGUUCAGAUUUGACCAAUCAAUCAGAGCCUCUGAGAUGGUGCCUCUGGAUUCAUAUUUAAAGAUAUUUGGAUACUCUUGGUUUCUGAUAUAUCAUCUCAGAGAAAGAAGGGAGGGAGGGAAGAAGGGAGGGGAAACGAACCUAUGCAUGAAAAAAAUAACAGCACACCGAGUUUCAUCUGUAUAAACUCCAAGGAGCCAUUGGAGAGGAUUGGCAUUUCCAGGGAAUGAAGUCUCUCCCUGAGCUUCUCGAAGUUUCUUCAAGGCACAGGGGCAGCAACCACACUUGCCCGAAUGUUCCAUCUCGCAGGCGGGGCUGCACAGCUCUCAAGGUCUCCCGUCCCGAGGAAGUUCAUGCCAGUGAACAAACCCCUCCUUCCCCAUCCCUCGCCCCUAACUUCUACUCCUUGGUUGUACCAACCUUGUUGAGGCAUAGGGGAAUCGAUUCCUUUUCCUGAAGAGCUUGAGUCGCCACAAAGAUUUCUAGGGACUCAGGUAGAAACCUGUCCCUCAUCCCCCCUACCCCCUAUCUGAGAGAGAGAGAGAGAGAGAGAGAGAGAGAGAGAGAGAGAGAGAAUACAGCCUAACUAGGACCAGCAGAAAAGUCCCCGGAAAAGAGGGAAUCAUCUCGGCUCGUCCGCCCCCAGGAGGCCAGACUUGGGACUUGUCACUUAGAAAAAUUCUUGAAUUUUCGUUCCCCUACUAAAGGGGAACCUGUCGGGGGGGGGGGGCGGGGGAUGGCCCCUCACCUUUGCCACUUGCUAGAGACUGCCCUGAGUGAGGUGGGAAGGCAGACGCCUUCUGCAGUGCGGGGAAGAGACUGGAAAGAGGAAAACUGGGUGACAAAGCUCAAACCGCAAAAUCCCUCCAGGUGCGGCACGAUCCAGAAAUCCAGAAGAGUCGCCCCGAAACCUGAAGUCUGAGGCGGGGGCGGGGAUGGACCGAGGCCCAUCAGCUGCCCGCAGGGAAAGGGAUGAGUCGGUGGCAACCCAGCGUCUGGGAAAGCCAGACCUGCCCCUGCGCAGCUCUGUGAGCGCCUGGGUUCCGCACUCCAGACGCGGACAAGAGCGGUCCAUCACCGGGACCACCAGCCAGCAAAACCCUAACCCUUUCCCUCGGUGACCUCACCCUCAGCUCUUGGGGAACGCGUGGGAGCUGCAGGCCACAGUUCCACCGGAAAUCCGGACUCUGACCCCAGUUUCCGACUUCUGCGAUCUGCGGAGCCCCUUUGCUCACGCAGUCUGACACUACCAAUCUCAGGAGCGCACCUCCCACCGCAGUACAGGCGGGGGGACUGAGGCCUAGAGAAGGACAAAGGUGCCCACAGACAGGAGGUAGAGACACGUGGGAGAGCUUAGUUUGCUAGGAGCAGGAGCCUGGGGCAAGGGGUUCUGACAAAU
rnacentral:lncRNA from 1 species